CUUUCUCAGAGGAGCAGGGGAGCAACCGCAACUCAGCCCCAAGAGCGGGCGAGCGAAACCCAGCGGGGCUAGCCCAACCGCGGCGCCGGCGCCUGCGCCCGCCUGCUCCUCGUCGGUGCCCACUGGCCCGCGGCGUCCAGGAAAGGGUCACAGGAGGAAUGUUGCCCGGGAAAUGUGGAGCGUCCCAGGCCGGUCAUUUCCCUGCGAGAAGUGUCCAGAAGUGUUCCUCAGAAAAAAUGUGCAGAGGUAGCGAGUUUCUUGAUAAAAAGUUUCUUCAUAAAUCUAUACUGAGGACUUAUGCUUCCAGGUUUCAACCAAGAUGGCACCAUGGAGAGAUCCAGAAUGCUCUUCUAUAGACGCACAGGUGGUUGAGAAAACACAAACAUCAAAAACAGG